UACGGAGGAUGCGAGCGUUAUCCGGAUUUAUUGGGUUUAAAGGGUGCGCAGGCGGCACGGCAAGCCGGCGGUCAAAUCGCGGGGCUCAACCCCGCCCAGCCGUCGGAACUGCCGGGCUAGAGUGGGCGAGAGGUGCGCGGAAUGCGUGGUGUAGCGGUGAAAUGCAUAGAUAUCACGCAGAACUCCGAUUGCGAAGGCAGCGCACCGGCGCCCUACUGACGCUCAGGCACGAAAGCGUGGGUAUCGAACAGG
rnacentral:rRNA from 1 species